rnacentral:tRNA from 1 species
ACCUGGGUGGCUUAGUCGGUUAAGUGUCUGACUUCGGCUCAGGCCAUGAUCUCACAGUUCGUGGGUUUGAGCCCCAUGUCAGGCU